rnacentral:rRNA from 1 species
UAUCCGACCCCGAGCCGUCCCGCGGGACACAGGCCGGUCGCCUCGUCGCGUCAGCGCGGGAGCGCCGGGCGGUCGACGGCUCGACCCCCCCUGACGGCCCCGGGCCCCGAACCCUCCUUUCGGGAAAAUUCCGGGCGGGGCCAAAUCCGAAACCGGUUAAGUCCCUUCCGGCCGGGCGCAUCCUCCCCCGGGCGGGGCGAGGGCCCAUUCCCCCCGCGCACCCCCACCCCCCCCCGGCCCAAAAGGCUUGCGCGGGGAAAGGGCCCGCCCGAAGAAUUCCCCCCUUUC